CCUUAUCAUUUAGAGGAAGGAGAAGUCGUAACAAGGUUUCCGUAGGUGAACCUGCGGAAGGAUCAUUGUCGAGAUCUGAGAUCAAAUGACAGAGAACUUGUUAACCAUUUGGGGCAUCGUGCUAGCAAAGAUUCAAUCAGGAGAGCAUUCUCUAGAUUUGCUUGUUUGUUGCAUGAUCAUAGCCAUGUCACCACUUCAUAAUGGGUUGGUGAGAGUUGGCAAACGAUUGUGGGCACGGCAUGUGUCAAGGAUGUGAAAGCGCUCAUUGCGUUGUGGCUUUGGUUUGGGUAUGCAAUGUGCUUGAACUGAUUCAAUACCAAGUAUACGACUCUCGACAACGGAUAUCUAGGCUCUUGCAUCGAUGAAGAACGUAGCGAAAUGCGAUACUUGGUGUGAAUUGCAGAAUCCCGUGAACCAUCGAGUCUUUGAACGCAAGUUGCGCCCGAGACCUCUUGGUUGCGGGCACGUCUGCCUGGGCGUCAUCCCUUAUGUUGCUCCAUCCAACCAAUCCAUCGUGUGCGAUUGGUCAAUCGAUGGAAGCGAAGAUUGGUUCACCGUGCUUUGAAUAUAGAUGCGGUGAGCUGAAGUAUGAGACGCCGAUGGAGCAUGAGUAUACGACAAGUUGUGGGCAUAAGAAUUUUUCGGAUGCGGCCGAUGUCGUUCUCUCCACGGCAUAUGCUCGCACCUAGCGUGCUGUAGGGACGCUUGAAUGCAAGUGAUGUACUACUCCCUUGUUGCGACCCCAGGUCAGACGGGACUACCCGCUGAGUUUAAGCAUAUC
rnacentral:rRNA from 1 species